UACGGAGGGUGCAAGCGUUAUCCGGAUUCACUGGGUUUAAAGGGUGCGUAGGCGGGUUUGUAAGUCAGUGGUGAAAUCCCAGAGCUUAACUCUGGAACUGCCGUUGAUACUACAGGUCUUGAAUACUCGGGAGGUGAGCGGAAUAUGUCAUGUAGCGGUGAAAUGCUUAGAUAUGACAUAGAACACCGAUUGCGAAGGCAGCUCACUACAGAGUCAUUGACGCUGAGGCACGAAAGCGUGGGGAUCAAACAGG
rnacentral:rRNA from 1 species